AGCGAACGCUGGCGGCAGGCCUAACACAUGCAAGUCGAACGAAGUCUUCGGACUUAGUGGCGGACGGGUGAGUAACACGUGGGAACGUGCCUUUAGGUUCGGAAUAACUCAGGGAAACUUGUGCUAAUACCGAAUGUGCCCUUCGGGGGAAAGAUUUAUAGCCUUUAGAGCGGCCCGCGUCUGAUUAGCUAGUUGGUGAGGUAAAGGAUCACCAAGGCGACGAUCAGUAGCUGGUCUGAGAGGAUGAUCAGCCACAUUGGGACUGCGACACGGCACAAAAUCCUACGGGAGGCAGCAGUGGGGAAUCUUGCGCAAUGGGCGAAAGCCUGACGCAGCCAUGCCGCGUGAAUGAUGAAGGUCUUAGGAUUGUAAAAUUCUUUCACCGGGGACGAUAAUGACGGUACCCGGAGAAGAAGCCCCGGCUAACUUCGUGCCAGCCGCCGCCGUAAGAC
rnacentral:rRNA from 1 species